UAUGUUAUGUCGUUUUAUGCUAUAAGUGUCAUUUUAGAAUUAAUGUGAUUUUAGAAUUAAUGUGACUUGUAAAAGAAAAAUAAUAAACAAUUAUUUUGUAAAUCUAUAUAUAUAAAAGAGUGUUUGGUUCACUCCUGGGGUGUCCACAUAGGCGGACACAUCACUAAUUCGUGCGAUGUCGUGCUGACACCUGUCCCCGAAUAAAAACGCGUCGUUUCAUUUAAGUUUGUUAUGGCGUGAGCUUUUGAUCGUAAUGUAUCCGUCUAUGCUAUUGGGCCUAAUUCAGAGUGUGCUGUCGGCCCAACCAGGCAAUACUGCUCGCAAAUCCUAAUCCGCCGUAUACGUGAAAACAUGUUUGUUCUUCGUUUCUGUUUGUUCGGCGGCGACGGCGACGGCGACGAUCGAGUUUCCUUGCUGUCUCGAAACGGAUUGCGGUAUGGAUUCUGUGUUUAAUCCCAUUAAAAACAUUGACGAUUGAGCUUCCUCAUGGUUUAUGAAACGGAUUGCGUCGGUAAGGCGGUGAGCUUUUUGGUAUAAAUAUGUCAGCAUUUCUCUUCUGAAAAUCGUGUUCUCUUCAUUCAUCUUCUAUUCAUAAGGCGUGGGAAGGUUUCACGACGGCCUCAAACGCUGAUCUGAUCGCAGAGCAGCAGAUUUGGGCUGCGGUUGAUCCUUAUGCCAAGAACGAAUGUUGUUUUGUCUUCUGUUAUUGUUGUUUCAGAAUGAAUGUUGUAUGCCGCCAGAAAUUAUAAACCAUUUGAUUCUUGAUUUUCUCAAUACAUGCUAGAUUGAAGCCUGUGUGUCUGUAUAUUUUUGUUCUAACUUUCCUAAAGAGUUUCUGAUUCAGAAAAUGAAGACUUUAAAGAGUACAAGGAGCAUGCUGAUAAUUUCAUGAAGAGUACCAACCUUCUCCAAGACGAGAUUUAAACACCUUCUAGCUUCUUUAUAAGCAUCUAUCUCCUCUCGGUGGGCAUCCAUGACCAAAUCUGCAGAUGCUACUCAAACGCUGAACUUAGAUUGAACUCACGCUGAAAUCAUUCCACAGUCGUACAUAUACGUGCAUGUCGCAGAUAUACAGACUCUCCAAUGAGACUAGAGCUUAACAUUUCUAUACCAGGAUCUAUGCAGAGCAUAUAACCCAAGUAGAUAUAAGAGAGAUUGAAAGAUAGAAAAUUACUUAACUAGCUGAAACUUGAUUCUUGGCUGAAGUUUUUUGGUUAAUUGUGGCUAAAUGCUUAGAUGAACUUUCUAAUUAUUAUCAUUUUUUUUCUGAAACUUAUGGGUUCUAAAUCACGGUUACAUUUCAGGCUUGGAAGAUUGGGUACAUAUAAGUCCGAGAAGCUAAGAACUAUUGACCUACUUAACAUGUGAUCUACUUUUAUGCAACACAACAAGUUGAACAUCAGAGUGGUUUGGAACAACUUUUGCAUUAUGUGGUUUUUUUUUAUCAGCGUAUUAUGUGGUUUUAUGUUUUAAUAUUUUUGGUUCAAGAUGAAGUUUCAGUAAACUACUAAUAAAUUAAUACUCUGUAGAAUUCAUUUGGUUGAUUUCCUUCGCUUCUAAAGUCAAGACGCAAGUAUAAUACCUUAAGACAAUAAUGUAUGAUUAUAGCAUAUAAUUUUGAUUAUACUAACUC